UACGUAGGGGGCAAGCGUUGUCCGGAAUCAUUGGCGUAAAGAGCGUGUAGGCGGCCCGGUAAGUCCGCUGUAAAAGUCAAAGGCUCAACCUUGAAUGUCAGUGGAUACUGCCGGGCUAGAGUCCGGAAGAGGCGAGUGGAACUCCUGGUGUAGCGGUGGAAUGCGCAGAUAUCAGGAAGAACACCAACGGCGAAGGCAGCUCGCUGGGACGGUACUGACGCUGAGACGCGAAAGCGUGGGGAGCGAACAGG
rnacentral:rRNA from 1 species